GGCUGGUCUGAGUGCAGUGUCGUUUACAACCAAUUGAUCACAACCAGUUACAGAUUUCUUUGUUCCUUCUCCACUCCCAUGGCUUCACUGGCUGGCCUUAA
rnacentral:Y_RNA from 1 species